CCCUACAAAGUAUAUAUAUAUAUUCUGGAUCAGCAUAAAAUUCUAAGACAAUCUAGCGAUGUCCGUCUUUCUGUCUGCUGUAAUUUUGCAUACAUGCAUAGUUUAGCAGUAGGCAGGUUAAGUUUGUAAAUAGGCCAUGUCGGUCCACGUUUUCGUAUAGCCCCCAUAAAACGGUGCCUCUCGAUAUUCGGCAUUUUCAUGAUUUUAGCGACAGUAUUUAUCGAAAUUGUUUCAAAUUUGGUAUUUGGAGUUCGUAAUGGGUACUACAGCCCAUGGCUCAAUAAGAAAGGAUGCUCAACUUCAAAGGAACUGAGAAAAUGCAACUCAGUGCUAGUGUCUCAUAAUGUCAAAUAGACUUUUAAAUAUGCAACAGUCGGUUUUGUUAAUUUUUUAACUAAAUUCUUAUACUGAGAAAAAAUCGCGCAACUAAAAUGGAAUUUUGGAGUUAUCAACAAGAUUGAAUCUAAAAUGGUAGGACAAUACAGUUUUAUCCCAAAAUUGUAUGUAUAUAAAAGAUUUAAUAUACAUUUAUUUUGCAACCGAAAUUGAAAUAAUUACAAAUUAUUGUAUUUUUUAUUCAAAACAACACACAUGGUACAAUAAGUAAGGUAGAGCUCCCAGCUGAUUACAAUUUUUUCUAAGUGUGCCCGACUUCUGCCAAUUUUGUGUAUGUAUUUGUUGUUUUGAAAAAUACAAACAAAAUAUUUUCAAAAUCAAUGAUUGGAAGAAACCUAAAUUGCGGGGCGCGCAUUGAUAAUAUUAACCAGAUUUUCCAUGGAAUUGAAGGAUUGAACACAUAGGAUCAUAUUUUUGAGAGAACAUCCAGAUAUUUCAUUCAUCUUUCGCGCUAUUUUAGAAAUUACCAAAAAAAAAAUCUAAUAAAUAAAAACAACUUGUUGGAUAUAAUUUUGAAUAAUUCUGACAGGAUGCGGGCAUAGCCUCAGAGCUGUAUUUCUGUAAUUUUACGAAGCUGUUCUACCUCCUUAUUGUACCAUGACAACACAUACACAUACACAAAAGGUGUAUAUGUUUUGACAGAAUAAAGGUGCAAGUACAUAAAAAGUUUGAAGUCAUGCCUAGGCACAUUAAUGUCAAAUUAUAAUGGAAAAUAACGGCAGGAUUUUAGUGCGUCUCUUUUAUCCCUUUAUGAAAAGUCACAAUAUAUGCCUAGCCAUGACUUCAAGCUUCUUUUUUAAUUACAGCUUAAGGACACUAAAAGAAAAAAUUGUAUUUAGGGUGUAGUUUUGUUCUAGCUUCUGUAAUUGUUCCAUGCUUCAGUCUAUGACAAAAAAUAUCGUAAGCAGUUCCUUGUCUCCCUAUAACAGUUCUCGUUUAAGUAGUAGUUUCCGGAAGUUUUUUUUAAAUAUUUCAAAUGGUAUUCAAAAUUCAGCCCGGCCGAACUUUUAUGCUUCUUUACUUGCAUUUGUAUACGUUUUGCAUCAUCUCUUGGUGGUGCAUUUAUAUCUUCCUUUAUAUGAAGUUCACAUGGUACAUGAUUCGCUCUCUAUUCCUCGUUCGACACUUAACUAUGAACGAAUCACUUGAUUCUUGAAGAUUAGAAUUCAAAUAAUUGCUCCCGGGAAAAAGCCAACAAUAAGGAGGAAUAAAACAUUGUUCAUAUAUCUGCUUUUGAAGAAAUGCGAGUAUUUUCUUCUCAAAAUGGAAAGAAAAAAGGAAUUAAUAAAAAAACUAGUGAUAAGCCGUCGAAAACUUGCAAAUGUGACAUUGUUUGGGCAUCCAGCUCCAAUAUUAGGACGUUGACUUGGGAUUCAAUGUAUCACUUGCCUCGGAAAGAUUGUGCUGGCGAAAGGAACGAUCUCAAUAUUUUUGGGAAGUUGAUUGCCAAAAAGGUGAUGACUCCUUUUUUAAAAACAAUUUCCGAAUGACUCGAAUGGUGUUCAAACAACUAUGCCUGUUACUACAUGGCCUGCGCAAAUGUGACACGAACAUGCGGGCAGCUAUACCACUAGAAAAAAGGGUUGCAAUAGGACUAUAUGCCUUAGGUUCCUCGGCAGAAUAUAGAACAAUUGGAAACAUGUUUGGCAUUGGAAAAAGCACAGUCUGCUCAAUUCUUUUAGAAUUUUGAAAGUUUUAGCUCCAAUGUACUUAAAAAAAUUCCCAUUAACAAAGAAUAAAAUAGAAAACCUAUGACAAGAACUUGAAGCCUUGGGAUUUCCUCAAUGUAUUGGUGCUAUCGAUGGCUGUCAUAUAGAGGUUCAUCCCCCAAAAGAAGACGCUACUGAUUAUUAUAACCUUAAAGGGUGGUACUCAGUUGUACUACGAAGUAAAACACAUUUUUAACUUUUGUUAUAAACCUUAAUAGUCUUUAAGGUGUCGUUUCAUUUAUGUCAAUUGUGGAAGUCCUGGGCGCUGAAAUGAUUCCCAAAUUUUUGAAGGGUCUUGUCUGAAGAAAGAGUUGGAAGAAUGCAAACUAUUGACGGACAUGAAAAGAAAUAUAUCGAAUGUAGAUGUUCCCCUUUUUCUAAUUGGAGAUUCUGCAUUUAAAUUGAGUGAUAAACUGAUGAAGCCAUAUCCAUUCCAACUAUGCCAAAACCGGGAACAGAAAUGUUUUAAUUAUGCCCUAUUGAAAUCCCGCAGGUUUGUGGAAAAUGCUUUUGGGCAUCUUAAAGGCCGUUUUAGAAGAAUCGGAAAGGGAAUUGAUAACGCAUUAAAACAUACUAAUUUAAUUAUAUUAUCUUCCUGCGCUCUCCAUAAUUUUUUGAGUGAUCAUAAUGACGUAGUUAACGGCAAGUGGUUGGAAAUUUUGCAGGCGUCUGAAAAAUAUCGUUCGUACCCAGACGAAAUCAUGCCCUUGUCAGAUCAAAGCACUGGUCGUCAUGCAGAAGAAAUAAGAACGGCACUUUCAAUUUACUUCGCACAAAGCUCGUGUUAUGAUAAUACCGAGGAGGACAUAUAAUAUUUCUAUGGAGAACCGCAAUGAAUGUGGCAGCAAGAUAUUCACGCAAUUUGAAAAUUUUUAGAUUAGAACACGAAUCUAAGAACAUGUCCGGAAUAAACGUAAACAUAUUUUCAAAUUUUGUGAUGCAUCCAUAAUAUGAAAAAACAAUAACAAUGGAGUAAAGAUUGAUAAUUUUCAAAGUACAAAUUGAACAACGUAAUAAUUUUUAUGCUU